UAGAGUUUGAUCCUGGCUCAGAACGAACGCUGGCGGCAGGCUUAACACAUGCAAGUCGAGCGCCCCGCAAGGGGAGCGGCAGACGGGUGAGUAACGCGUGGGAAUCUACCUUUUGCUACGAAAUAACUCAGGGAAACUUGUGCUAAUACCGUAUGUGCCCUUCGGGGGAAAGAUUUAUCGGCAAAGGAUGAGCCCGCGUUGGAUUAGCUAGUUGGUGAGGUAAAGGCUCACCAAGGCGACGAUCCAUAGCUGGUCUGAGAGGAUGAUCAGCCACACUGGGACUGAGACACGGCCCAGACUCCUACGGGAGGCAGCAGUGGGGAAUAUUGGACAAUGGGCGCAAGCCUGAUCCAGCCAUGCCGCGUGAGUGAUGAAGGCCCUAGGGUUGUAAAGCUCUUUCACCGGUGAAGAUAAUGACGGUAACCGGAGAAGAAGCCCCGGCUAACUUCGUGCCAGCAGCCGCGGUAU
rnacentral:rRNA from 1 species